rnacentral:tRNA from 4 species
CGGGGCGUGGCGCAGUUUGGCUAGCGCGCUUGCAUGGGGUGCAAGAGGUCGGUGGUUCAAGUCCACUCGCCCCGA